GGCAAGCUGUCACUUGUAUUGCUCAAUGGCUUUUAUGUCUUGCUGUUGUUCUCAUGCAAAAGUGAACUCACUCUAUUUGUAAAUGUUAAAAAAAAAAAAGAACGAAAAAACCAUGAAAUUAUGAUUCCAGGUUUUGUUGCUAUUCAUAUUUAUUCUGCAUAGUUCAUGUAUAAAGUUUAAUUGAUAAGUGAGGCAAACAUUACAGGUAGGAGGCAAAGAAAUAGUCAACUUUAUAACACCUUGAGCCUGCAAGAGGAAUAGUCCAUGAUUCUUUUCAUGACGCUGAUGAAUUGUGGUUUGGCCAAGCUUUCCUUUU
rnacentral:lncRNA from 1 species